AUUGAACGCUGGCGGCAGGCCUAACACAUGCAAGUCGAACGGUAACAGGAAGAAGCUUGCUUCUUUGCUGACGAGUGGCGGACGGGUGAGUAAUGUCUGGGAAACUGCCUGAUGGAGGGGGAUAACUACUGGAAACGGUAGCUAAUACCGCAUAACGUCGCAAGACCAAAAAGGGGGACCUUCGGGCCUCUUGCCAUCGGAUGUGCCCAGAUGGGAUUAGCUAGUAGGUGGGGUAACGGCUCACCUAGGCGACGAUCCCUAGCUGGUCUGAGAGGAUGACCAGCCACACUGGAACUGAGACACGGUCCAGACUCCUACGGGAGGCAGCAGUGGGGAAUAUUGCACAAUGGGCGCAAGCCUGAUGCAGCCAUGCCGCAUGUAUGAAGAAGGCCUUCGGGUUGUAAAGUACUUUCAGCGGGGAGGAAGGGAGUAAAGUUAAUACCUUUGCUCAUUGACGUUACCCGCAGAAGAAGCACCGGCUAACUCCGUG
rnacentral:rRNA from 1 species